AUUUUAUAUUUCACAUAGAAUCCUGAUUCAGUGUAGAACCAAUUAAAUCAGCAUUGACCAAAGUACAGGGAGACCAGAACAACAGGCUGGCACAAUAUGUAUUCAAACUGAUUUUGAAGUAUAUGUAUAACCAUAUAGGGAGACAGACAAGAAAAGGCCAUGGCAGAUUAUAUUGUUCAACUGGGUUUACAAAAUGAGGGUUUGAGAGAUGAGAUAUAUUGUCAGUUAUCUAACCAGACAUGGAACAAACCAGAGUGUGAACACAGCAGAACGUGUAUGGCAGUUGAUGGCUCACACUCUUAGUGCCUUCCCUCCAAGUCCAACUCUCUAUAAAUAUCUCCACAAAUGCUACAAUGAUUGGUCAUGUGGAGUCAUGUACUUCAGGGGAGGAGUUUGCCAAGCAUUUAUUAAACCAGAGAGGUUUACGUGAAAACAACAUGGGUGGGACCGUAGUGCUGCAGGAAGACAUGGAUUACUAUGAGUUGAUGGGAUAUGACUACGUCCUUGACCUCAUUAGUGAGAUGGAAAUUCCCCCAGGGUUCCCGGUGUGCAGGUCACGUUUCCUUGUAUCCUCUCAUAGAACUCAGGAACCACUUUCUCAUCAGAGAAACUUCUUCUACAGUGAGUCGUAAGUUGUAGGCAGUCAUUAUGAUGAUGGUUACAUUUUUGUGCCCCCACUAUAGGGGGGGGGGGGGCAUUUAGAUUUACCCUUGUCCGUCCGUUCUCUUUUUGUGUCGCACGUAGCUCAAAAAGUA